UUUCCGUAGGUGAACCUGCGGAAGGAUCAUUAAUGUAUAAACGUGGUGAGAGUGCUGUCUCUGCCCCGAGCGCACGUGCACGCCCGAGUGCAUCAACACUUAUCCAUUUCGCCCCUAUGUGCACCACCGCGUGGGUCCCGCUGUCGCUUGUUUGGAGGGGGGCCUACGCUUUCUCAGUUUCUUAGUAUGCAGUGCUGAAUAUAUUUUUUGUCUUUGCAAACACGCAAUCUAUACUACUUUCAACAACGGAUACCUUGGCUCUCGGAUCGAUGCAGAACC
rnacentral:misc_RNA from 1 species